CCUACGGGUGUCAGCAGUGAGGAAUAUUGGUCAAUGGGCGCAAGCCUGAACCAGCCAAGUCGCGUGAGGGAAGACGGUCCUAUGGAUUGUAAACCUCUUUUGUCGGGGCGCAAAAGCCGCCACGCGUGGCGUUCCGAGAGUACCCGAAGACAAAGCAUCGGCUAACUCCGUGCCCGCAGCCGCGGUAAUACGGAGGAUGCGAGCGUUAUCCGGAUUUCUUGGGUUAAAAGGGUGCGCAGGCGUGAGAGCAAGUAAGCGGUGAAAUUGAGAGGCCCAAACUCUGCGUGCCGUUGAAACUGGUUUUCUUGAGUGAGUGAGAAGUAUGCGGAAAGCGUGGUGUAGCGGUGAAAUGCAUAGAUAUCACGCAGAACUCCGAUUGCGAAGGCAGCAUACCGGCGCUCAACUGACGCUCAUGCACGAAAGUGUGGGUAUCGAACAGGAUUAGAUACCCGGGUAGUC
rnacentral:rRNA from 1 species